rnacentral:tRNA from 1 species
GGCUCCAUAGUGUGGUGGUUAGCACACCUGCUUUACAUGCAGCAGGCCCUGGGUUCACAUUCCAAGUAGAGCCA